GGUAGAGUUGCUGCCUUACAGUGCCAGAGUCCCGGCUUGCGAUCCUCACCACGGGUGCUUGUCUGUGUGGA